rnacentral:rRNA from 1 species
GACGAACGCUGGCGGCGUGCUUAACACAUGCAAGUCGAACGGUAAGGCCCUUCGGGGUACACGAGUGGCGAACGGGUGAGUAACACGUGGGUGAUCUGCCCUGCACUUCGGGAUAAGCCUGGGAAACUGGGUCUAAUACCGGAUAGGACCCUGGGAUGCAUGUCCUGGGGUGGAAAGCUUUUGUGGUGUGGGAUGGACCCGCGGCCUAUCAGCUUGUUGGUGGGGUGAUGGCCUACCAAGGCGACGACGGGUAGCCGGCCUGAGAGGGUGACCGGCCACAUUGGGACUGAGAUACGGCCCAGACUCCUACGGGAGGCAGCAGUGGGGAAUAUUGCACAAUGGGCGCAAGCCUGAUGCAGCGACGCCGCGUGAGGGAUGACGGCCUUCGGGUUGUAAACCUCUUUCAGCACCGACGAAGCGCAAGUGACGGUAGGUGCAGAAGAAGGACCGGCCAACUACGUGCCAGCCGCCGCCGUAA